CAAGUCAUAUAAGAAUUGCAGAAUUUUUGGAACAAUAAAAAUAAGAUUAACACAGCCCCUGUGUAAGGAUGACACGUAAAUUUAUGAAGUGUUUCAUAUUUUC
ensembl:snRNA U6 U6 spliceosomal RNA